CACCCAAAAGUUCAGACUGAGCCUAAUCUACUCAGCAUUGCAUUUUGGGACUGCAUAAAUUGAAGGUCGGAUCACCCAGGCAGUGAAACAGCCUUGUUAAUGGAAGAUUCAACUGUUGGAAACAUCAGAACUUGCUACAUUUGCAGCACAGAUCUGGUCUAGGAGCACACUAGUCCAUAUUCAGUUGCAUCAAAUCUGCAUGCCCAGAAUUGCAUCAUUAUUCUAUGGCAGAUGUGCAAAUUAUUUGUAACAGGGUUUAAGUCUGAUCGAAUUGGAAGAAUAAAUUAGCUAGGGCACAAAUAUACCAGGGAUACCGCAAGUGGAGAAUCUUAAGAAAAUUCAGGAAAACUCUGCUGAUUGUCAAAGUUGCAAGAAACAAUGAUGGGAUCAUGAGGAAGGCUGUCAUAGGGAUGAUCGCUGUCCAAUCCCGGCUGAACAAGGGCAACAAGAAACAGAAGAACAAAGACGAGCUGAAGGGUACUAUCAAGAAGGAGAAAAAGAAGCAGCUGUCUGUUAGAGCCACAACAUGGAAUGAGACUCUUGGUGCCUUAACCAAGCACUAGAAUUCUCUUUGCUAGUCCUUUGUUGUGUUCUUUUUUGUUGUCUUCGCUGUUCUCUUCUGCUUUGUAGUUCUGUCUAGCCUAGCGGCCAGCCUCUGUUCUGUUGUUGUUUGUUUAUUUUUAUGAACUGUUCCUCUGUUUUGUAAGGGUUGGGGGCUCUUUCCCCUGCUUACACAGGUACAAGUCUGCAUAAAACACUCUGCAAAGUGGGGAAUAAUAUUCUUUCAUUCCUGUUUUGCUUUUUGUUUUAUGAUUUUUUGUUGCAUUAUUUACUUAUUCUUAAAUGUCAUUUAUUAAAAAUUUGUUUGUUCUGUUAUUUAGUUAAAUGUGUAACUUUGUAAGUAAACAGUUUUUCCUGUAACUAAUUUGGGGCAUUAAACCAU